rnacentral:misc_RNA from 1 species
UUUCCGUAGGUGAACCUGCGGAGGGAUCAUCCAUAAUAAAAUAUAUUAUGGCACUUUUUAAAAAUCCAUAUCCACCUUGUGUGCAAUGUUAGAUCUCGUCAAUCUUGGCGAGAUUUUUAUACAUCAACUCAUUCUUUAACUAAUUUGUCUGAAAAAUAUUAUGAAUACUUAAUUCAAAAUACAACUUUCAACAACGGAUCUCUUGGCUCUC